rnacentral:tRNA from 2 species
CAGUAGAUAGUUUAAAAAAAAUUUUAAUUUUGGAGAUUAAAGAUAAGCGUGGCUUUUUACUGA